UGCACUAGGGUUAAUCAAAUUCGGCAUUGCGAAAUCGUUCGUCUUCAAAUUCUGGAUCAUCUCAAGAAAUACUACGAGUGGAAUCAUGAACUGUGAAGUUUUCAAGCUGAAAGAACUUGAUGUGGAGCAAUUUGAGAUACAAGAUGUUCUCCAAUGCAUUCUUCAUUCAAUCAUGUUUCACAGAGCAUUAGGUCUGAUAUAUCCAAAGAAUGUGGAUUCG
rnacentral:misc_RNA from 1 species